rnacentral:lncRNA from 1 species
ACUUUCGGACACGGUGUGUUUUCUCUCUGAUCUUGGAAACAGAAGAGUGUGUGUGGCAGAGAACCCUGUCGCUGUGUCCCCAUUUUCCUUCGUUCUGUGGGAAAGAACGGCUCCUCGUUACUGCAGCCCACUGCCCGGUGUCACACGUGAGAGGAACGUCACGAGCCUUCCCCGGUGAAUCAUGCCCGUGGCCGCUGUGCCCACCUCCUCACCUUCAGCUCACCAAAGCCGGCUACGGCUCUCAUCGCGAACUCGGAAAUCCCAUCGUGCCUUUCUAAUUGAAGCCAAAGCCCACCCGAUUAUGGUUCAGAGCCCUGGGUUUCGGUGUCUCUAACGUGCUAAAUAAAUACGAACGCAAUUAAAGAUGCUCCAGGAAACUUGGUGACUGUAUGUAAUUUUCCUUUCCUCCCAUCCGAGGAAUGAGGAAAUCCUACUGCUGGAGAGCUGUUAGUAUCUAUUUUACAAGAUUUACUCAUUUUCAGAUACCUAAUGCAGCUGCUAGCAUGCAUGCACAACAAUACGAUUUAUAUGGUAAAUGGGACCAAAUAAUGGCUUCACUGAAUGUUAUGGCUGCACUGAAGGGAGAUGUCACGGUAAAUAGCCACCAAAUUAUGGAUCAUGCCUGAGUGUCACAACUGCACUAAAGACAAAUAGCACUGGGGGCUAUUGCCACUGUGACGCUUUUGAGUUAUGAAGAAGGGUAGCAGCCUGAUGCGAGGCUCUUUGUGUCCUCAUUACAGCAAGGGGUUCCGAGCGCGGGGUACAAGAAAAGCUGGCCCAAUGCAGUGCUCAGUUAUUAAUCUGUCCCUUUCAGACCUAACAGAUCUGGCCACACGGAAGAAGACUUUGCCUGCCUUUCAGACACGCAAACACGGGAGGGGACAGGUUUUAGGAAGAGAAGAGCGCAGGAAGUGCCUGGCACUGGGCGAACAAGUUAAUCAGAUCAUCCCACCCCAGAAGAAGAUGACAUUUCACACGGUCUGCAUACUGAUGAGCCCUGACGGUAAGACUGAGCUGGUCCUUGCCUCUGUUCCCAAUGCGAAGGUUUCUGCCAGCAUGGCAGCGGCAUGGACCCUCCCGGGAAGUGAGUCUGAGAUCCCCCAUGUGGGAGGGUCCCGAUCCCGAAGUCUGCCUUUCCCAGGUGGUCCCGAGGCUGCUGUUCCGGGGAACACGCUUCGAGGAGGAAGGCACUAG